UCUGUUUCCGACGGAGAUCGCGAUGCCCGGGGGCCUGGUGGUUCCCUCGCUGCUCCAACCCGUCAUGGAGGGACUGGAGAGCGUGGGUCUCUUGCUGUCGAGCACGGCAAGCGUGCUUCUCCCGAACGGUCCCGAACUGGUGCUG
rnacentral:ribozyme from 1 species